rnacentral:rRNA from 1 species
UACAGAGGGGGCAAGCGUUAUUCGGAAUUAUUGGGCGGAAAGGGCGCGUAGGCGGCUUUUCGAGUGAAGGGUGAAAUCCCUCGGCUUAACCGAGGAACUGCCUGUCAGACUGGAAGGCUUGAGACCGGGAGAGGUGAGUGGAAUUCCCAGUGUAGCGGUGAAAUGCGUAGAUAUUGGGAGGAACACCAGUGGCGAAGGCGGCUCACUGGACCGGAACUGACGCUGAGGCGCGAAAGCGUGGGGAGCAAACAGG